rnacentral:tRNA from 1 species
UAGUCCGGAAAAUUAAGACGGCAUGCCUUUUAAGCAGGGUGUCCGGAGUUCGAAUCUCCGGCGGGUCACCA